UCUUCAUUUCACACACUCUCUCAUCGGUCAGCAUGCGAGAGAGUGUGUGAAAUGAGGAGA
rnacentral:pre_miRNA from 1 species